CAAUUAUAAUUAAAAUAUAACUGUUUGAUUAUAUAAUUGAAAUUGCUUCCAUUUGAUUAGUUUGGAUCCUUUCCAUAGCCAUGCCCCUCUUUUUGAAUAAAUCAGCCUUUGUACUCUGUGCUGCAGGAACAUUAAUGUAGGUGCAGUCAUGGGCUGAAGAAUACAUAUCUGUUUCAAUCCACAGUAAUCCAUAUGAAGACAGUACUGAUUCUUCUGCCCAUAUCAGGAAUGAUGAA
rnacentral:lncRNA from 1 species